GGUAUCAUAGAGGGUGAGAAUCCCGUGUAAACCAACCACUGGAACGUUAUUAAUACGUUUUCUAAGAGUCGAGUUGUUUGGGAAUGCAGCUCUAAAUGGGUGGUAAAUUUCACCUAAUGCUAAAUAUAAGCGAGAGACCGAUAGUGAACAAGUACCGUGAGGGAAAGAUGAAAAGAACUUUGAAAAGAGAGUUAAAUAGUACGUGAAAUUGUUGAAAGGGAAACGAUUGAAGUCAGUCAUGCUAGUGAAAAAUCAGUUUGACGGGUUUUGAGUUCGGGAGUAGAGGCAGGGUAAAACCGUUUCUCUUUUGAACUUGGGAUUUGUUAGAUGUACUUUUUCUUUGGCAGGUUAGCGUCGAUUU
rnacentral:rRNA from 1 species